rnacentral:rRNA from 1 species
AAACUAAAGAGUUUGAUCCUGGCUCAGAUUGAACGCUGGCGGCAUGCCUUACACAUGCAAGUCGAACGGUAGAGUAGCAAUACUCGAGAGUGGCGAACGGGUGAGUAAUAUAUCGGAACGUGCCCAGUCGUGGGGGAUAACGUAGAGAAAUUUACGCUAAUACCGCAUACGAUCUAAGGAUGAAAGCGGGGGAUUCGCAAGAACCUCGCGCGAUUGGAGCGGCUGAUAUCAGAUUAGGUUGUUGGUGAGGUAAAAGCUCACCAAGCCGACGAUCUGUAGCUGGUUUGAGAGAACGACCAGCCACACUGGGACUGAGACACGGCCCAGACUCCUACGGGAGGCAGCAGUGGGGAAUUUUGGACAAUGGGCGAAAGCCUGAUCCAGCAAUGCCGCGUGCAGGAAGAAGGCCUUCGGGUUGUAAACUGCUUUUGUACGGAACGAAAAGGCUCUUUCUAAUAAAGAGGGCCCAUGACGGUACCGUAAGAAUAAGCACCGGCUAACUACGUGCCAGCAGCCGCGGUAAUACGUAGGGUGCGAGCGUUAAUCGGAAUUACUGGGCGUAAAGCGUGCGCAGGCGGUUUUGUAAGUCAGAUGUGAAAUCCCCGAGCUCAACUUGGGAACUGCGUU